UACGUAGGCAGCAAGCGUUGUUCGGAGUUACUGGGCGUAAAGGGUGCGUAGGCGGUUGUUUUAGUUUGGUGUGAAAUCCCACGGCUCAACCGUGGAACUGCUGGGUAUACUGGUUGUCUUGAGCCAGCUAGGGGCGAGCGGAACAGACGGUGGAGCGGUGAAAUGCGUAGAUAUCGUCUGGAACGCCGAAGGUGAAAACAGCUCGCUGGGGCUGCGCUGACGCUGAGACACGAAAGCCGGGGGAGCGAACGGG
rnacentral:rRNA from 1 species